rnacentral:rRNA from 1 species
UACGUAGGGGGCUAGCGUUGCUCGGAAUUACUGGGCGUAAAGCGCACGUAGGCGGCUCUUUAAGUCGGAGGUGAAAUCCUGGAGCUCAACUCCAGAACUGCCUUCGAUACUGAAGAGCUCGAGUCCGGGAGAGGUGAGUGGAACUGCGAGUGUAGAGGUGAAAUUCGUAGAUAUUCGCAAGAACGCCAGUGGCGAAGGCGGCUCACUGGCCCGGUACUGACGCUGAGGUGCGAAAGCGUGGGGAGCAAACAGG